rnacentral:rRNA from 1 species
GUUGAGCGCUGAAGGUUGGUACUUGUACCGACUGGAUGAGCAGCGAACGGGCGAUUACAACGCGUGGGGAAUCUGCCUUUGAGCGGGGGACAACAUUCCGUAACGAAUGCUAAUACCGCAUAACAACUUUAAACACAAGUUUUAAGUUUGAAAGAUGCAAUUGCAUCACUCAAAGAUGAUCCCGCGUUGUAUUAGCUAGUUGGUGAGGUAAAGGCUCACCAAGGCGAUGAUACAUAGCCGACCUGAGAGGGUGAUCGGCCACAUUGGGACUGAGACACGGCCCAAAACUCCUACGGGAGGCAGCAGUAGGGAAUCUUCGGCAAUGGACGAAAGUCUGACCGAGCAACGCCGCGUGAGUGAAGAAGGUUUUCGGAUCGUAAAACUCUGUUGGUAGAGAAGAACGUUGGUGAGAGUGGAAAGCUCAUCAAGUGACGGUAACUACCCAGAAAGGGACGGCUAACUACGUGCCAGCAGCCGCGGUAAUACGUAGGUCCCGAGCGUUGUCCGGAUUUAUUGGGCGUAAAGCGAGCGCAGGUGGUUUAUUAAGUCUGGUGUAAAAGGCAGUGGCUCAACCAUUGUAUGCAUUGGAAACUGGUAGACUUGAGUGCAGGAGAAGAGAGUGGAAUUCCAUGUGUAGCGGUGAAAUGCGUAGAUAUAUGGAGGAACACCGGUGGCGAAAGCGGCUCUCUGGCCUGGUACUGACACUGAAGCUCGAAAGCGUGGGGAACAAAACCAAGAAUAAAUAACCCGGUAAUCCACCCCCUAAACAAUAAAUGGUUGAAGUAAGGAGGUAUUAAGUUUCCGGAUCGCCACCUAAACCAAUAAACACUCCCGCCGGGGGAGACCAACCCCAGGGUUGAAC